GGUUCACCAAGGCGACGAUGCGUAGCCGACCUGAGAGGGUGAUCGGCCACACUGGGACUGAGACACGGCCCAGACUCCUACGGGAGGCAGCAGUAGGGAAUCUUCCGCAAUGGACGAAAGUCUGACGGAGCAACGCCGCGUGAGUGAUGAAGGUUUUCGGAUCGUAAAGCUCUGUUGUUAGGGAAGAACAAGUACCGUUCGAAUAGGGCGGUACCUUGACGGUACCUAACCAGAAAGCCACGGCUAACUACGUGCCAGCAGCCGCGGUAAUACGUAGGUGGCAAGCGUUGUCCGGAAUUAUUGGGCGUAAAGGGCUCGCAGGCGGUUUCUUAAGUCUGAUGUGAAAGCCCCCGGCUCAACCGGGGAGGGUCAUUGGAAACUGGGGAACUUGAGUGCAGAAGAGGAGAGUGGAAUUCCACGUGUAGCGGUGAAAUGCGUAGAGAUGUGGAGGAACACCAGUGGCGAAGGCGACUCUCUGGUCUGUAACUGACGCUGAGGAGCGAAAGCGUGGGGAGCGAACAGGAUUAGAUACCCUGGUAGUCCACGCCGUAAACGAUGAGUGCUAAGUGUUAGGGGGUUU
rnacentral:rRNA from 1 species